GGAGCUGCGGUCCAGUUUGGAGUGGACGCCUGGUUGUCAGCCAGGAGACCGAGGGUUCAAAUCCCUCCAGUUCCG
rnacentral:tRNA from 1 species